UUCACUUUACUGAUGCGAACAAAUUCGUCCGGAUUGUAUUCGAGUCCGACUCAUCUACUCUCCAAUGCAACUCUAUCGUCUCAAGGUCAUGAUUAUUUAAAAAAUUCUUGUUGUUCCUGUUUCAAGUAUUAUUUAUCAAUCAUCUUUACCUUUCACCUUCGAAUACUUUAGCUAUUUGAGACAAGGGAAUGGGUUGUUCACACUUUAGCUAGAAAACCAGAGAUCCAUCCAUCCACGAAAACAACAUAGAAACACUGAUCACAACUGGGCGGAAAACGCAGACGGACUUGCUCAUCGGGCGCGGUUAACAGUGAGUUCAAUUUUUCCUUUUUCUAUUUUUUUUCUUCAGAUUUUCCUUUCUGUAUCUCGCACGAGGAUACAAUUCCAUCGCGAUUUGUGACGCACCAGAGCAGAGCUCCACUACGCACUUCAUUUCACAACAUUUUAUUGCUUACAUUGCUUUUUUCUUAUGUUCCUCACUCUGCAAUUUUUCAAUGUUCUAGUUUAUGUUUUCAAAUACAAUUUUAAUUUUAAUUUUGAAUCACGUUCAAUUAAUUAUAAACUACGAACUAACUCACUCUCUUCAAGAAUCAACUUUGUUAUGUUAUUUUGUCUUCUGGUUUAUUUUAUAGGGUUUUAAGCAUUAUCUAUUGAAUUAAAUUAUUUAUAAUUUGCAACUUAUGAAUACUUUAGAAUUUUUCAAAGCAUAUAUAUUGACUCAACUUUAUUAAUCUUACUAUAACAAAAUAGAUACCCUAGUUUGCAUACUCUUUUCUUGUAUUAAGAGAGAUUUUAGGUUAAAGUGAACAGCAGAGCGGUGCCGCUGCAACAUCACUCGGCGAGUUCUACUUCUUUUUUCUUCGAAUCUUGAUUCUUUCAGCGUUCAAUUCAACCCAAUCUUCUUGCACAAUUUCUGUGGGUACUGAGCUGUUGUUGUUUAUGGCUCGAUCCACCAAAAUCGUUUACCGGUUCGACCAUAUUAGGACUUUCGUCAAUGCAAAGGUUAAAUGGGUCCGAGACGACGACUAUCUUGAUACCGCAGUCCUCAAAGAGAAAAAUCUCAGUUCCAACCAAGUCCUGGUCUUCCUCCGCGUGUUAAGCUCACUGCUCAAGCCUUAGCGCUACAUAAAGAAGAAAUGGAAGUUCAUAAUUCGAGAACUAACCGUGAGGACGCUGCUCAGAGGCUUUCGAGGCUUCUAAUGCUUGCUGGCAUGGCGAGAUUUCCGAUUUAUGUAAUUGAGAAGCUGAAAUGGGAUAUGGGUCUUCCUCAUGAUUAUGUUACUACCCUUUUAGCUCAUUACCCGGAUUAUUUUGAUGUUUGUGUUGUGGAAGAUCCAUUGUCUGGAAAAGAAGUGCUUGCUUUGGAAUUUGUUUUGUGGAGAAAAGAACUUUCCGUGUCUGAGUUAGAGAAGAGGGUAAUGGGCUUUAACUACGGUGCAGAUAAUAGAAGAUAUGAUAUUCAAUUUCCCAUGUUUUUGCCUAAAAGUUUUGCUUUAGAGAAGAGGGUGAAGACUUGGGUUGAGGGUUGGCAAACUUUGCCGUACAUUUCUCCAUAUGAAAAUGCAUUUCAUCUUGACUCGAAUAGUGACCAGGCCGAGAAAUGGUCAGUUGCAAUUUUGCAUGAGUUGCUAUCUCUUUUGGUGUCAAAGUAAACAGAAAGUGGGAAUUUGCUUUGUUAUGGAGAGUGUUUGGGGUUGGGCUCAAGAUUUAAGAAGGCUUUGGUUCAUCAUCCUGGUAUAUUUUACCUUUCUAAUAAAAUAAGGACUCAGACUGUUGUGCUUAGGGAGGCUUACAGAAAUGAAUUUCUUGUUAAGAAUCAUCUAGUGAUGGGCAUGAGAUAUUGGUACAUUCACCUCAUGACAAAGGUGUAGAAGCAACGUAAACAAGUUGAUUUGGAGGAUGAUGAUGAAAUUGAAGUUUGGCUACUGAACCUGUAGAUUCUAGUUCAAACUAUCUAACAUAGAAAUGAAACCAGAUUUCCAUGUUACUGAUUGUCGCAACUGACAAAGUUUAUUAUGCUGCGUGUUGGAAAUUUAUGCCAGUUGCCAAGAUUUUAAAAUGUGGACAAAUGCAAUUGUGAUUACCGACUCCAAUUUAAAACCUUAUUAGUUGGUAGUAAAUCAUGGAGGAAUGGAUGUGUGCUAUGUCUAAACAGCAAUUUGUCUAGAGUUUUUAGUGUUGAAUUAAUUGUGGCCGCAAUAGCGGUUGAUCGUUGACUAAACUGUGGAUGUGAAUAACAUCCUCGUCUUUGAUUUUUGUCAUUGACAAAAUACCUGUUUUUCUCACUUUAAACAUCACCUUGUACAGAUUGAGGGGCUUAUAUCUUUCCCCCAUCACAUACUGAAGCAUUUUAUCGUUAGUUCUUCUUGUUUGGUUACAUAAUCAUAUAAAGAAGGGCCGUUCUCUAUAUCUCUCUGCAACCCACCUAUUACUUGGCAUUUGGCAAAAUUUACAUCCUAUGCGAAAGGGAAAUUAGAUACAUGAUUUGCUUGAGGAAAAAAGUGUUCCAUCGCCCAAGGGGAAUAAUAUUGUGAUAAUUAUGCUAACUCAGUUAGAUACUGUUAUCCUUUUGUGAUAUCCGUGAUAAUUCUUGUUACUAAUAUCUAGAAGUUUCUCAGUCUGUAGUGACAUGAGAUGGUGUCAGAACUGUCAGUAUAAAUACCUUGUAAUCUAUCUCUAUUAUUCAGAUCAUAAAUAUAUGACUUCAGAUUAAGUACAAGUUCCAUCUGCACUUUUCUUUCUAUCUCAGAUUCUAUCAUGGUUGAAUGUCUAUAACAUGAAUUAAAAUCUCUAAAGACAUUUAACACUAGUCAAGUCCACCCUUUUCACAACUCUAUUGGAAUCCGAAUUUAGCAAAAAAUAGGCAAGUAUAAUUUACAUUUACGCAAAAAAUAGGUACAUGGUUAACUAUGUACACAAAUACACUCCCCAUCAAGUUUGAAAAUACAAAUUAAAUGCUAUUAAGUUUGCCCCCCUUAGAGAUUUUGUGACGAUAUCUACCGGUUGAUAAUAAGAGCUAACAACAUUAGUGACGACUUCUUUGGAAAGAACUUUCUCAGCUGUUCUUCUAUUUAUACACCCUUAGCAAUAAAUAUAAUUUACAUUUACAAGGAGAUUAAUAAUAUUUUGACUUAACUGCAUGUAUGGUAUUCCGUGAGCACAUGGCUAACUAUACACAAGGUUCUAAAUAUAACUGCUACGAGCCUACAACUUCCAAUACUAACAUCAGUGUCUUUUGGCACCUGAGUUGGAUUUGGGAUGGGAUAAUCGCCUACUAGCUUAUUCCUGUCCACUUAACUAUGGUGCCAUUGGUUGCAGGACAUUAGUUUCUUCCUCCUCUUUUUACAUGGUAUUGGACAUCAAGUGAACAUUUAUGAAGCAUGAAAUUAUUCAGUCGAUGGCUUCGUUUUGCUUUUGGUGUUCUAUUAAUUUUCCUCCUUACUCAUCUGUUUUCUGUCAGAGAGUUUAACAGCUCAAAAAUGGUGGAACCCCAUAAACAACUUAACAAGAAAUUUGAUCAUCCGCUACUUGGUCCUGCUGCUGGUCAAGGCUUGUCAAAUCGUUUGCAAUGCCAAGGAUCAAAAGCUCUCAAUAGGACCCAUUUUUCAAAUGGCGGAUUAGGUGUAGAUGGAAGUAUUACAUUUGUCACUGUCUUUACCAUUUAUAAUUCUUCUCUCGAUAAGAGUAGAUGAUAAAUCAUCAAACACAUUUUUUGGCAACGCUUCAUAUAAUAAGGUGGAAAGGUCAAUGGCUGUGUUGAAUGUCUUCAUUAACUUCAUUCAUUCAGGUAGCAAUGCCCCAGAGCGAAGUGAUUAUUCUCACGGAUCCAGUUUCUGACCUUUCAGUGCACAGAAAUAGGGUCUCUCUGUAUCCCAUACAAGGUGAAUAUUCAAGAGACAAGUUAAUGCUCCAAAGGAUCAGGUCUUGCAUUACCUUUUUAGAAACAAGACUUCACAAGCUUUCUCAGAAUCCAAUGGAUAUCAUUCAUUACAUCUUCACUGAUUCUGAUAUAGCAGUGGUUGAUGAUUUAGGGCAGAUUUUUUGUGACCAUCCUAAUUUUCAUAUGGCUCUGACCUUCAGGAACAACAAGGCUCAACCUUUGAAUUCAGGAUUCAUUGCAGUAAAGGGUACCCCUGAUGGAAUUUUAAGAAUCAAUGCAGGGUAAGCUUUUCCUGCAAGAGGUUUUGAAAGUUUAUGUCUCAAAAUACAUGAGUGCUUCCCGCAUGCUGGGUGAUCAGUGAGCUCUUGCUUGGGUUGUGAAGUCAAAACCUCAUUUUGAUGCCAGCAGGUUGCGAAAACACUACCUUUCUCUGAUGACAUUGGUGGUACUUCAAUAUUGUUCUUACCGUGUGCCCUAUACAACUGGACUCCGCCUGAGGGUGCUGGUCAAUUUCAUGGUAUGCCACUGGAUGUUAAGGUUGUUCAUUUUAAAGGAUCAAGAAAACGUCUAAUGCUCGAAUCAUGGAAUUUUUAUUCUUCAACUCCUGACAUUGCUGAUAUGUUAUGCCUCAUUUUGGGAAGUGGAAGAACAAAAUAUGAUUUUUGAGAAUAAUCUCCCAAAAUGUAUCACAUCAUAUAUUUCAGCAACUCCCAAUUGUAGGACAGAAAAAAUUCAGCUAUUGCUCCUUUGUCAUUACACAUUACCCCUUUGAUUGGUACUGCUAACUGCAAACCAGAAGGUCGGAGCUGGACCGUGAAAUAGGUUGAACUGCUCUACUCAGGAUAGUUCUUUUUAGAAGGCACAUUUUUUAGAUUUCAACAUAUCAAGAGCAUGUAGGAUGUGAUAUUAUAUUUUGAAAUGAUGAUGGUUUAUACAUUCUUGCGCAAUUGGAAAAGACAUUUAUUGAAUUUGAAUUGCUUGGUUAAUGCCAUA